rnacentral:tRNA from 1 species
GCGGGUGUGGCGGAAUCGGCAGACGCGCUAGAUUCAGGUUCUAGUGGGGGUAACCCCGUGGAGGUUCAAGUCCUCUCAUCCGCA